rnacentral:rRNA from 1 species
ACGAAGGGGGCUAGCGUUGUUCGGAAUGACUGGGCGUAAAGGGCGCGUAGGCGGUUGAUCAAGUUGGGGGUGAAAGCCCGGGGCUUAACCUCGGAAUUGCCUUCAAGACUGGUCAGCUAGAGUGUCGAAGAGGGAUGUGGAAUUCCCAGUGUAGAGGUGAAAUGCGUAGAUAUUGGGAAGAACACCAGUGGCGAAGGCGGCAUCCUGGCCCACAACUGACGCUCAUGUGCGAAAGCUUGGGGAGCAAACAG